UCCCUCCGAGAAGGCGGCAGAGGCUGACUCUACAGUCAUGGCCAAGAUUAAGGCUCGAGACCUUUGCGGCAAGAAGAAGGAGCUGCUGAAACAGCUGGAGGACCUGAAAGUGGAGCUGUCCCAGCUACGCGUGGCUAAAGUACCGGGCGGCGCGGCUUCCAAACUCUCCAAGAUCCAAGUUGUUUGCAAAUCCAUCGCCCGUGUACUCACCAUCAUUAACCAGACUCAGAAAGAGAACCUCAGGAAAUUCUGUAAGGGCAAGAAGUACAAGCCCCUGCAUCUGUGGCCCAAGAAAACGCGUGCCACGUGCCGCCGGCUCAACAAACACGAAGAGAACCUGAAGACCAAGAAGCAGCAGUGGAAUGAGCGGCUGUACCCGCUCCGGAAGUACGCGGUCAAGGCCCGAGCAUCCAGGUGUCAAUAAAACAAACAAACUGGCAAAAAAAAAAAAAAAAA